rnacentral:rRNA from 1 species
UACGGAGGGGGCGAGCGUUGUUCGGAAUCAUUGGGCGUAAAGGGCGCGUAGGCGGCCGUCCAAGUCGGGUGUGAAAUCCCUCGGCUCAACCGAGGAACUGCACUCGAUACUGGUCGGUUAGAGUCCGGGAGGGGAUGGUGGAAUUCCCAGUGUAGCGGUGAAAUGCGUAGAUAUUGGGAAGAACACCGGUGGCGAAGGCGGCCAUCUGGACCGGAACUGACGCUGAGGCGCGAAAGCCAGGGGAGCGAAUGGG